rnacentral:misc_RNA from 1 species
AACGCACCUUGCGCCCCUUGGUAUUCCGAGGGGCAUGCCUGUUUGAGUGUCAUUAAAUUCUCAAACUCACAUUUAUUUGUGAUGUUUGGAUUGUUGGGGGUUGCUGGCUGUAUCAAGUCGGCUCCUCUUAAAUGCAUUAGCAGGACUUCUCAUUGCCUCUGCGCAUGAUGUGAUAAUUAUCACUCAUCAAUAGCACGCAUGAAUAGAGUCCAGCUCUCUAAUCGUCCGCAAGGACAUUUUGACAAUUUGACCUCAAAUCAGGUAGGACUACCCGCUGAACUUAA